AGUUUUAUGUAUUUAUAUAAAAUAUUUUCUGCCCAAUGUUAAAAAAAUCAAUGGCCGCAGUACCUUGACUGUGCUAAGGUAGCAUAAUCAAUUGGCUUUUAAUUAAGGUCUAGAAUGAAUGGGAUAAUGAAGUUAAUCUGUCUUAUUUGCUUUUAUUAAAAUUUAUUUAAAAGGUGAAAAUACCUUUUUUAAAAAUAAAGACGAGAAGACCCUUAGAAUUUUUAUUUUUUUUGUUGGGGCGACAGUUUAAAAAUAUAAUCUUAAAUUUAUUGUAUAUAUAACGAUUUUUUUAAUAGAAAUUAAAUUACCUUAGGGAUAACAGCAUAAUUAAUUAUUUAGUUUGUGACCUCGAUGUUGGACUAGGAACUAUAUGGCUAACCGUCUAAUUAGAUUUGUUCUGUUCGAACAAUUUUAUCCU
rnacentral:rRNA from 1 species